CCACUAUCAUGAAAAGCAAAAUAAAGUCACUAUAAGGACAGCUAAAAAUAAUUGAACCGACUAUACUAUCCACACAAAACCAAAAAUGGAAGCUACAAUUUUCACAAAAAUCCUCUAUUUCUUCACUCUUUUUCUUUCCCUUUUAUUUAUAAUCACUUCCGUAACAGGCCAAUCACCAUGCAAUGGUACAAUAGCUAAGUGUAUCGAAGAGUUGGAGAUAUUAAUGGAGUCUGAUAUUAGUAGAAGAUUUCUUGAAGAAAGAAAAAAGUAUAUUUCUCCAGGAGCUUUGAAAAGAAAUCAGCCGGUUUGUAACGGCGGCGGUGGCGGCGAACCGUAUUUGCGACGCUGCCUUCCGCGGCCGUCAAAUCCGUAUAAUAGAGGUUGUUCUAAGUGACAAGUGGGUUGCUCUGAUGGUAAACAUCUUCCACUUCCAACUAAGAAGUUGUGAGUUCGAGUCAUCCCAAGAGCAAGGUGGGGAGUUCUGGGAGAUAAGGAUACCGAUGGUCAUUUGGAAACUGCCUCUCUACUCCAGGGUAGGGGUAAGAUAUGACUUUUACAAGUUAUGAACCCACGGCCAGUUGGAAUAUGCGUAGUUCUGGUGUGUUGGAUCAUGGUGGUCCAUCCGGGAGUCAUCACCAACAGGAUAAUGUCCAUCAAGGAAUGUCAACACAUUAUGACUUUGAAAACGAGCAAGUUGAACCACCUGUCCUGACUCAAUUGCCCGAAGAUGACAUAUUAAAUCGGGAUCUGGCAGAUGCACAGAAUAAGGAAUAGAACAGUGAUUAUGACAACAAUGCCGAUGAUUCUGGAGACGACACACCCUUCCCUCGUGAGGAUGGUGAUAAGGAGGAAGAGAAUGAAGGACCUGAUUUGACGAGGGAGUAUGCUCCACCCCCCGUUAGACCAAGAGUGUACGAGUUCCAAGUUCCGUUUCAUUCAAGGAAGAUUCCCCACCUUGAUCAUUUGCCAAAUAUGCCGGAUAUGGAUACUCUGACAAGGGAUUUUGAUAAAAUUCGGACAACAAUAUGGGAUGAUUCUAGAGCAACAAUGUUGGCAAAGGGCAUGCUAAUAUUUGAGGCCCAGUAGCACCAAGCUAUCCUGAAUUCUUAUGUGUGUCAAUUUUAAUAUUUUACAUGUUAGUUUCAU